rnacentral:rRNA from 1 species
UACGGGGGGGGGCAAGCGUUGUUCGGAAUUACUGGGCGUAAAGGGCUCGUAGGUGGCCAACUAAGUCAGACGUGAAAUCCCUCGGCUUAACCGGGGGAACUGCGUCUGAUACUGGAUGGCUUGAGUGUGGGAGAGGGAUGCGGAAUUCCAGGUGUAGCGGUGAAAUGCGUAGAUAUCUGGAGGAACACCGGUGGCGAAGGCGGCAUCCUGGACCAUUACUGACACUGAAUAGCGAAAGCCAGGGGAGCAAACGGGG